rnacentral:rRNA from 1 species
GAUGAACGCUGGCGGCGUGCCUAAUACAUGCAAGUCGAGCGAACAGACGAGGAGCUUGCUCCUCUGACGUUAGCGGCGGACGGGUGAGUAACACGUGGAUAACCUACCUAUAAGACUGGGAUAACUUCGGGAAACCGGAGCUAAUACCGGAUAAUAUAUUGAACCGCAUGGUUCAAUAGUGAAAGACGGUUUUGCUGUCACUUAUAGAUGGAUCCGCGCCGCAUUAGCUAGUUGGUAAGGUAACGGCUUACCAAGGCAACGAUGCGUAGCCGACCUGAGAGGGUGAUCGGCCACACUGGAACUGAGACACGGUCCAGACUCUUACGGGAGGCAGCAGUAGGGAAUCUUCCGCAAUGGGCGAAAGCCUGACGGAGCAACGCCGCGUGAGUGAUGAAGGUCUUCGGAUCGUAAAACGCUGUUAUUAGGGAAGAACAAAUGUGUAAGUAACUAUGCACGUCUUGACGGUACCUAAUCAGAAAGCCACGGCUAACUACGU